AGUUAUUGGUUCCCAGCCAACCGGGCCUCUGCUUUGAGCUGUUGUAUACUUUGCAGGUCACUUGAAGGUCAGCAUCCUCACUCAUGGCCAUCACAGGGCAUAGUUAUUUGUUGGAGUGAACUUGGUGUGCACGCCAAAGAAGAAUGUGUCCGCUGCAGACGUGGCACUUUAUGUAACACUGGAGAGGAAGUGAAAGAGUCUCUUUGGUGGCUCUGUGUGUUACUGCUGUGAUUGACAGGCAUCCUGUGAAGAAUGGACCCCACCUCUAGCUCUGCAUCUAAUGGGAUAGCCUCCAACAUCACCCCAUCUCCCUCCCUCCUGAUGUCCUUUUAAUGAUGGCACCUUGGUGAGUUCUGUUCUUUUUCAGUGGCACCUGAAGGGAUCAUCUCAAAGGCUAAUUCAUAAUGCUUGGACAGUUAUCGUGGAAAAGCAACUGUUUUUUAUCAUUUGUGCUAAAUGUAGUGGGUAACUUGGAGUGUAUCCAUUAGGAAGUGUGUAAAUAUAUUUGCUCAAUGUUGCAUAAGCGUGUGCACUUCGAGCAAACCCCAACUUUUAGCGUAUAUAGGCCAGCAUAGGUAAGAUGUACCUGAGAUGUUUUGUCCCUCCUUCCCGCUUUCUUGCCCUUUCGGCCUAGAUACCCUGCCUCUCAGAUUUCCUGAGGGCUGAGCCCUGGGCUUUCUGUCAAUUUUGUUAUAAGAUAGUGGGGCCCAGACGCCCAGUCCCAGGAGCCCUAACACACAGCGCAUUAGCCAAGUGCCUACAGUGUAGUACUGUCAGGCAGAUGUAUUUCUCCCUCCCUCUGUCCUGGACCCUCCUUCUUCCUUUCAUUGGCCUAACAGGCAGAAGAAAAGAGGUGAUUGUUUGGGGACAAGAGGGAUGAAUUUGUCUGCCUCAGACAGGAGAAGAAAAGCAGUUUGAA